rnacentral:rRNA from 1 species
UACAGAGGGUGCAAGCGUUGUUCGGAAUUAUUGGGCGUAAAGCGCGUGUAGGCGGCUUGGCAAGUCGGGUGUGAAAGCCCUCAGCUCAACUGAGGAAGUGCGCCCGAAACUGCUUUGCUUGAGUGCUGGAGAGGGUCGCGGAAUUCCCCAAGUAGAGGUGAAAUCGUAGAUAUGGGGAGGAACACCGGUGGCGAAGGCGGCGACCUGGAC